CCUACGGGGGGCAGCAGUGGGGAAUAUUGGACAAUGGGCGAAAGCCUGAUCCAGCCAUGCCGCGUGUGUGAAGAAGGCCUUCGGGUUGUAAAGCACUUUCAGUGGGGAAGAAAGCCUUGGGGCUAAUACCCUCGAGGAAGGACAUCACCCACAGAAGAAGCACCGGCUAACUCCGUGCCAGCAGCCGCGGUAAUACGGAGGGUGCGAGCGUUAAUCGGAAUUACUGGGCGUAAAGCGCGCGUAGGCGGUCUGAUAAGCCGGUUGUGAAAGCCCCGGGCUCAACCUGGGAACGGCAUCCGGAACUGUCAGGCUAGAGUGCAGGAGAGGAAGGUAGAAUUCCCGGUGUAGCGGUGAAAUGCGUAGAGAUCGGGAGGAAUACCAGUGGCGAAGGCAGCCUUCUGGACUGACACUGACGCUGAGGUGCGAAAGCGUGGGUAGCAAACAGGAUUAGAUACCCUUGUAGUC
rnacentral:rRNA from 1 species